rnacentral:rRNA from 1 species
AACGAACGCUGGCGGCAUGCCUAACACAUGCAAGUCGAACGAGACCUUCGGGUCUAGUGGCGCACGGGUGCGUAACGCGUGGGAACCUGCCCUUAGGUUCGGAAUAACUCCCCGAAAGGGGUGCUAAUACCGGAUAAUGUCUUCGGACCAAAGAUUUAUCGCCUUUGGAGGGGCCCGCGUUGGAUUAGCUAGUUGGUAGGGUAAAAGCCUACCAAGGCGACGAUCCAUAGCUGGUCUGAGAGGAUGAUCAGCCACACUGGGACUGGGACACGGCCCAGACUCCUACGGGAGGCAGCAGUGGGGAAUAUUGGCCAAUGGGCGAAGGCCUGAUCCAGCAAUGCCGCGUGAGUGAUGAAGGCCUUAGGGUUGUAAAGCUCUUUUACCCGGGAUGAUAAUGACAGUACCGGGAGAAUAAGCUCCGGCUAACUCCGUG